AGAGUUUGAUCCUGGCUCAGAUUGAACGCUGGCGGCAUGCCUUACACAUGCAAGUCGAACGGUAGCGGGCCUUCGGGUGCCGACGAGUGGCGAACGGGUGAGUAAUGUAUCGGAACGUACCUUUCAGUGGGGGAUAACGUAGCGAAAGUUACGCUAAUACCGCAUAUUCUGUGAGCAGGAAAGCAGGGGAUCGCAAGACCUUGCGCUGAUUGAGCGGCCGAUAUCAGAUUAGCUAGUUGGUGAGGUAAAGGCUCACCAAGGCGACGAUCUGUAGCGGGUCUGAGAGGAUGAUCCGCCACACUGGAACUGAGACACGGUCCAGACUCCUACGGGAGGCAGCAGUGGGGAAUUUUGGACAAUGGGGGCAACCCUGAUCCAGCCAUGCCGCGUGAGUGAAGAAGGCCUUCGGGUUGUAAAGCUCUUUCGGCCGGG
rnacentral:rRNA from 1 species